UACGAAGGGGGCUAGCGUUGUUCGGAAUUACUGGGCGUAAAGCGCACGUAGGCGGAUACUUAAGUCAGGGGUGAAAUCCCGGGGCUCAACCCCGGAACUGCCUUUGAUACUGGGCAUCUCGAGUCCGGAAGAGGUGAGUGGAAUUCCGAGUGUAGAGGUGAAAUUCGUAGAUAUUCGCAAGAACACCAGUGGCGAAGGCGGCUCACUGGCCCGAUACUGACGCUGAGGCACGAAAGCGUGGGGAGCAAACAGG
rnacentral:rRNA from 1 species